rnacentral:rRNA from 1 species
UGCGUAGGUGGCAAGCGUUGUCCGGAUUUAUUGGGCGUAAAGCGAGCGCAGGCGGUCUUUUAAGUCUGAUGUGAAAGCCCUCGGCUCAACCGAGGAAGGUCAUUGGAAACUGGAGGACUUGAGUGCAGAAGAGGAGAGUGGAAUUCCAUGUGUAGCGGUGAAAUGCGUAGAUAUAUGGAGGAACACCAGUGGCGAAGGCGACUCUCUGGUCUGUAACUGACGCUGAGGCUCGAAAGCGUGGGGAGCAAACAGG